rnacentral:lncRNA from 10 species
ACCUGCACCCGGGAGGAAAGGCGAGGCUCUGCAUCUAGAUUUACCUCGUUCUCUUUUGUCUCCGCUUUUUUUUCACAUUUCCUUGCGACCCUGGCCCUUGAGCGACAAAAAGGGGAAGCCAAGGCUGGCCCGAGGAACGGAGAGGGCACAUGGCCUAGCCACAAGUGGAGCUUCUGCUCCGCCCGAAGGGAUGCGCUGGAGCGGCCUCUUCCUUCUGCCACGGUCUUUCUUUGCCAACUAGUAGUAGAGAUGGGGUUUCACCAGGUUAGCCAGGCUGGUCUUGAACUCCAGACCUCAAGGGAUCCGCCUGCCUCAGCUUUCCAAAGUGCUGGGAUUACAGGUGGAGACUGGACCUCAGAAGAGGGAGUGGGUGCCCCGAGAACUCACAGCUAGCGGACAGUGGAAAGGGCAGGAGCCGGACCAAGGUGAGGACAGUGGAACUGAAGGCCGCUGGUUACCUCUCCUGCCCUCCGCUGGCCACAGUGGAGAAGACAGCCCCUCCCUCCUGCUCUGACCUGACAGUGUUCAUCCAUCGCCCUGU